GGGCGGCUCCUCCCCGCGCCUCGGGCAGCUCGGGCAGCUCGGGGCCGUGCGGGGACGGCCGUGCGGGGACGGCGAGCCCCGGGCCCCGCGCCGCCCGUGUGCGGGCCGUGCGAUCGCCGCUAACGGCCGGCCCCGCUCGGUGCGUUGCAGCCGGGAGCGCCUGGCACCGCGCUGACCGUCCGCCCGUGGAGCCGGCAGCGGAGGACGAGCGGCGGCACGACGAGGACCGGCACGACGACGACGACGACGACGACGACGACGAGGACGAGCGGAGCCUGCGGACGGCCCUCAAGAAGCUGCGGCUGGACGCGGCGCGGCGGCACGAGGACGAGGAGGAGCAGCAGCAGCAGCAGCAGGACGACGACGAGGACGAGGACGAGGACGACGAGGAGGAGCGCAGCCUGCGGACGGCCCUCCAGGAGCUGCGGGUGGACGCGGCGCGGUGUGAGAGGACUGCAGGAGGACCGGCCGGUCUCUCACGGCACGGACGUUCCAGGUCUCCUGUCCUGUAUCCUCCCACGUUUACGCACUGCGGCACAAAACACAAAACCCGGUCACACACACCAAAGACUCACGUCCGUUCCAGUGUUUGUGCUACAGCAGAACACGGCACAGAGGACAGACACAGUCCUCACUUUGAGGCCAGCCAUGGCAGAAGAGCCACAGCUGAACCUCUGCUGAACCACCGCUGCGGGGCCUGUGGGGAAGUCACGGGAGAACUGCCUCGCUCUGCCCUCAUCGUCUCACUCUGACUCACACAACAGCCAAACCUCACUUUUCCUUUCCUUAUCCACGCUUCACAGAUCCAUCUGUGAAACAGCCCUGUGCAGCCCUCCCGCAUCCCGUUCUGUGGAGGCUCACGCUUAUGUCAGUGACGUGACUGUGGAAGACCUGGCAGGGUACCUGGAACACCAUCUGCAUAUACCAAAGAAAAUGUCUGCCAUGGCAGAAAUGAUGUAUUCAUAACCAAACAGCAAAAACAGUCACAGUACUAAGCGCUAUCAGAAAUUUAAAUGGCUCGUUUGUGCCAUAUUUGUAAUGUUCUGUUUCAUCAAAUGUCUUAUUACACGGUACAGUUUAGUUUUGUAAUUAAGAGAAAAACUGUACAUAGUUGCAUAGACUCCUGUGGCUGAAAUGAUGUAUACUUAACUGAAAGCCAUACUCAGUCACAUAGUAAUACAGUUUAUUUUUGUAACUCGAAUAAAAACUGUAUAUAGUC
rnacentral:lncRNA from 1 species